GGCGAGGUAGCUCAAUCGGCAGAGCAGUGGACUCAUAAGCCAUUGGUUGACGGUUCAAGUCCGUCCCUCGCCA
rnacentral:tRNA from 2 species